ensembl:snRNA U6 U6 spliceosomal RNA
GUGUUUGUUUUGGCAGCACAUAUACUAAAAUUGGAACUAUACAGAGAAGAUUGGCAUGGCCCCUGCACAAGGAUGACAUGCAAAAUCAUGAAGCGUUCCAUAUUAAA